AAAGCGCACGUAGGCGGAUUGGAAAGUCAGAGGUGAAAUCCCAGGGCUCAACCUUGGAACUGCCUUUGAAACUCCCAGUCUUGAGGUCGAGAGAGGUGAGUGGAAUUCCGAGUGUAGAGGUGAAAUUCGUAGAUAUUCGGAGGAACACCAGUGGCGAAGGCGGCUCACUGGCUCGAUACUGACGCUGAGGUGCGAAAGCGUGGGGAGCAAACAGGAUUAGAUACCCGUGU
rnacentral:rRNA from 1 species